rnacentral:tRNA from 1 species
UCCCUGGUGGCUCAGUGGUAAAGAAUCUGCCCGCAAUGCAGGAGACUUGGGUUCGAUCCCUGGUCUGGGAA